rnacentral:rRNA from 1 species
CUAACAGGAUUCCCCUAGUAACUGCGAGUGAAGCGGGAAGAGCUCAAAUUUAAAAUCUGGCGGUCUACGGUCGUCCGAGUUGUAAUCUAGAGAAGUGUUUUCCGUGUCGGACCGUGUACAAGUUUCUUGGAACAGAACAUCAUAGAGGGUGAGAAUCCCGUCUUUGACAUGGACUACCGAUGCUUUGUGAUGCACUCUCGAAGAGUCGCGUUGUUUGGGAAUGCAGCGCAAAAUGGGUGGUGAAUUCCAUCUAAAGCUAAAUAUUGGCGAGAGACCGAUAGCGAACAAGUACCGUGAGGGAAAGAUGAAAAGCACUUUGGAAAGAGAGUUAAACAGUACGUGAAAUUGUUGAAAGGGAAACGCUUGAAGUCAGUCGCGUCUUGCGGAACUCAGCCUUGCUUCUGCUUGGUGUAUUUUCUGUUUGACGGGCCAGCAUCAAUUUYGACCGUUGGAAAAAGUGURGGGGAAUGUGGCAUCCUCGGAUGUGUUAUAGCCCUUGCUCGCAUACAMCGGUUGGGAUUGAGGACCG